AAGUCGUAACAAGGUCUCCGUUGGUGAACCAGCGGAGGGAUCAUUACAGAGUUGCAAAACUCCCUAAACCAUUGUGAACGUUACCUAAACCGUUGCUUCGGCGGGCGGCCCGGGUCCUUCCCAGGCGCCCCUCGGCCCUCGCGGGCGCCCGCCGGAGGUAAACCAAACUAUUGCAUUGUAUGGCCUCUCUGAGUCUUCUGUACUGAAUAAGUCAAAACUUUCAACAACGGAUCUCUUGGUUCUG
rnacentral:misc_RNA from 1 species